AUUGAACGCUGGCGGCAGGCCUAACACAUGCAAGUCGAGCGAGCGGCGGACGGGUGAGUAAUGUAUGGGGACUGCCCGAUAGAGGGGGAUAACUACUGGAAACGGUAGCUAAUACCGCAUACUAUCGGAUAACCCAUAUGGGAUUAGCUAGUAGGUGAGGGAAUGGCUCACGUAGGCGACGAUCCCUAGCUGGUCUGAGAGGAUGAUCAGCCACACUGGGAUUGAGAAACGGCCCAGACUCCGACGGGGGCAGCAGUGGGGAAUAGUGCACAAUGGGCGCAAGCCUGAUGCAGCCAGGCGGCGUGUAUGAAGAAGGCCCUAGGGUUGUAAAGCACUUUCAGUCGGGAAGCGUUACCGAAAGAAGAAGCACCGGCUAACUCCGUGCCAGCCGCCGCGGUAAUAC
rnacentral:rRNA from 1 species